CCCUGGAGAAGGAAAUGGCAACCCACUCCAGUACUACUGCCUGGAGAAUCUUAUUGACAGAAGAGCCUGGUGGGCUACAGUUCAUGGGAUCGCAAAGAGUCGGACAUGACUGAAGUGACUUACAUGAGCCAUUCACAGGAGAAGUUUUAGCAGCUACCUCAGAGAACUGUACCUGAUACGUGGGCAAUUACUGACCAGAAACAUGUAGAACUCAAGAGGAAAGAAAAAGAAAGCACUCACCGCCAUUGUUUGACUCCUGAAACAGGCAUUUGAGG